GACGAAGGAUGCAAGCGUUAUCCGGAUUCAUUGGGUUUAAAGGGAGCGUAGGCGGACUUAUAAGUCAGUGGUGAAAUCUCUGGGCUUAACUCAGAAACUGCCAUUGAUACUGUAGGUCUAGAGUACAUUUGCUGUGGGCGGAAUAUGACAUGUAGUGGUGAAAUACUUAGAUAUGUCAUAGAACACCGAUUGCGAAGGCAGCUCACAAAAAUGUAACUGACGCUGAGGCUCGAAAGUGCGGGGAUCAAACAGG
rnacentral:rRNA from 1 species